rnacentral:lncRNA from 1 species
CGUGCGCGGGGCAGCCCCGGCAGGCCCAGUCGGGCUGGAAGCCGCCGCUGGCUCAGAGCCGCAUCCCGGCCCGCGGACGCAGGGGGCGCGCGGCCGGUCCCCGGAGGCGCUGGGUCCAGGCCGAGGAUGGUUUUGCUCCCCGCUCCGCUCCGCAUUUAGGAGGUGGGAGGAGCGCGCGGCGAUGCGCACAGGAAAUCUGAUAGGUGAGGAGGCCGGCGGGCCGCGCAGGGCGGCGCGGGCUGGGGGACGCGGCGGGCGGCUCCGGGAGGCGACGGGACCCCCAGGCCGGCAGCCGAGUGAAGAGGCAGGAACUGUCUACAAAUGCUCCGGCUCCGAAGCCCCGAGGGAAAGAGCAUCUUUCACGGAGCACCAGGAAUUGACGACGGUGGAAUUUGCUCAGAUCCCCUGAGGCCGGUUCUUUGAGUUUCUGUCUGGCCCUCCGGGAGAACCGUCCCAAAGUUAACUUUGAAAACACUCACAGGAGAGGGAAGGCUGUGGGGUCCUUCGCUUCUCAAACCCCAGAUGCCCCCGGAAAGAACACCGCCCCCGACCACCACCACAACCAGAUGUUUUUAAAAAGAGAUGCUAAGCAAAAGGCCUGAUUAUGAGGAAUGAGCCAAAGUCAUGCAAGGCGUGGGGCGCUAUGGGACUGCGCAGUGACGACCCAGUGAAGUAGAUGCCUUGACGAUUCCCAUUUCACGGAUGAGACGACUCCGGCACAGAGAAGUCAGAGGGCCUGUCCUGGGUCACACAGCCACAGGCGGCCCCCAGAACGGGACUUCAGGGUGCACCACUGCACCCCAGCAGAGACCUCCGCCUGGCACACAGGGAAUGCUGGAGCAAUACUUAAAUAGAGCAUGGCAGCUUUUCGUGUUUGGAAGCCUUCAGAAUCAUUUCCUACCCUCUCAAGGAACCCAUUCUUUAGAGGUACACACCGUUCCUGUCAGAGAGGCUAUCUUCCUAGUGCUAAAUGAUUUUUUGAUGCACUGAAAAUUAAAUUCACACUCAAAUUUCUGCAUUUGAGGAGAUUUUCCUGUACGCUGAGCUCUGUCAAAAGAGGUAUAUUGAAGAGAGGGUAGUUCUGGGACCAUUUGCAAGACAGCGCAUUGAUUGGAAGCCUAUACAUUCUGGAGUGUUGGCUUAAUAUGUUGAUCAUCCUUUGAGGUGGGGCACAAGGAAAAAUAAACUAUUUCUCCUUCAGGAACAUACAGUGGCAUAAGAGAGACCAACUUGGUGAUAACUGAUCAUAGGAUUAGACCAAGGUGCAGAAGCAAACAGAACCUCCAUAAAAUGUAAUGAUGUCUUGUGCCUGCAAUCCUAGUGCUUUCAGAGGCCAAGGUGGGAAGAUUCCUUGAGCUCAGGAGUUCGAGACCAGCCUGAACAACACAACAAGACCUCGUAUCUAUGAAAAAAUAAAAAUAAUAAAAUUAGCUGCACACCUAUUUGGUGGCACACACCUGUGGUCCCAGGUACUCGGGAGGCUGAGAUGAGAUCAUUUGAGCCCAGGAGAUCAAGGCUGCAAUCAGCUGUGAUCAUGCCACUGCCCUCCAGCCUGGACAACUGAGCGAGACCCUGUCUCCAAAAAAAGUAAAAUUAAAAAAAAAAUUAAAAUGUGAUGGAGUGCAGAGGAAAGGUCAGUUGAUUCUCACUAAGGGUUGGACUUCAUUGGUGAUUUUCUGUCUUUUUAAGAGUUAGAAACUCCUUUUUCAAAUGAAACGUGUAUGGACCUCCAAUGUCUUCAGCCAGGUCAGAGAUGUUUUGUUGGGGACGGGGGCUUCCAGCCCACUGAACACCCCUGUCCUGCCAUAGCCCCAGAGGUACCACCUUGGGCUCUGCCCAGUGCUGCUUCAACACCUCCAGAUGGGAGGAGAGGGACCUUUCCUUCCAGUUCUAACCCCCACAUCAGUCAAGGGAACCCUGUACAAAAUGCUGAGAAAGCCAAAGAAAGUCAGAGUGCAGGCAGCUUCUUGUGACUUACUGCGGGGGCUCCUUGUGUCUCCCCUCCUCCUGCCUGUUAGACUUCUCCUUGCUGGCUGGGCCCACGCGUGGAUGCACGGGUGCGGAGGAUGGGAACCCAGGAUCACUCAGCAACGUGCUUCUUGUCAGCUUCCUGCAAAGGGGAGAAAUCACGCGUCAACCAGAAGCUUUUAAGUGAAAAUCUGAGGACCUCCUACCUUCAUCCACCAGAAUGCUGCAGCUUUCAAAGUACUUUCUAGACAAUGUCAUUCAAGCUUGUGAUAAUCCCACUGGGUGGGAUGAGUGGGAGGUGUUAUUAUUUCACAGAUGAAAUUGAGGUUCGUUGGUGACUGAGCACCUCUUGUCACCUCACUGUCCCAUGUCCACAAUGGAGAUGCAGGAAAGGUGCUUUGAACUUUGGUCAGCACCUAGUAAGCCCUCAGUGCACGUUAGCACUGGUCAUUCGGUAGUGACCCAGGAGCUCAUCACUAGGAAGUGGCGGACUGGGAAGCAGAAUCAGACCUCCAAAUUCCCCCCAGGACCUGUCGCUCACUCUGCUAUUUGAGUGUCCAGCCCAGAAGCAUUUUCGGAUCUCCAAAAUAAAGUCAAAAGUGCUAGCAAUGCUUGGUGAAUUAAUAACAUGUGAUGUUGGCCAGGCACAGCGGCUCACGCCUAUAAUCCCAGCACUUUGGGAGGCCGAGGCGGGUGGAUCACGAAGUAAGGAGAUCGAGACCUUCUUGGCUAACACGGUGAAACCCCGUCUCUACUAAAAAUACAAAAAAUUAGCCGAGAAUGGCGUGAACCUGGGAGGCGGAGCUUGCAGUGAGCUGAGAUGGCACCACUGCAGUCCGGCCUGGGCGAAAGAGUGAGACUCCAUCUCAAAAAUUAAUUAAUUAAUUAAUUAAUUAAAAAAUAAAACAGGAGCACACAGCACGCUGCACUGUGGGGACCGCUGUCCUUUGGUCUGCAUGCUGCUCAUCGCAUCUGGGGGAGAGGACCCGAUAUCGUUUGUUUUUACGUCCGCGAACUUCACAUGGUGUUACCAUAGUUCUACAGGACAAGCCAUCAUUUCACAGUUUUCAUGCCUGACCUGCCUCCAGAGCUCUUGAAAACUUUGGAACCAAGAAUAUUUUUAUCAGCCAUCCUCCAGACUCACUCACGGGUUACCUGACCGCACUAAAUCCAAAAUGAGGGUAAAAAUCCCUGCUGCAAAUUCCUCCUGGCUUUGCCAUCUUGGCCAGUCAUUCCACCAAACCGAUUGUGCCUUGCAGAUAAAAGUCGUAAAACUGAAAGGCAAGUGGCAGAUGCAAACUGAUUUCCUAAUUGAUCCCUUGGUUCAACCUGCAUCUACAGGGAAGUUACUGUGUCUGGCACAGUGCUGGACACUGGGAUACAAACAAAGGGUGCAUCCAGGAGGUCCUUAAGAAGAAGCAGUCCCAGACUGUAGAAGCCUCCCAGAAGAAGAAGGGGGAGAAGUGUGUGAAUCAUGACUCUGAAGAGCAUGAAGAAAGAUGUCACCGCAGCUGGGGGAGUCUCCUCCCAGGUUUCCCAGCCCAGCUGCCUCACCUCUGGCCAGCAAGGUCCACUGCACACAGAGGUAACCACUGGAACAAGCAGCUGGAAACCUCAGCUUCUUUCCCUGUAGGCUCCAGGAGCUUCUAAUUCAUGUCUGUUGUCCACAUGCUGAGGCUUCUAUCCAUCCCUCAACCCCUGCUGCACAGGAAACCCUUCCUGCCUCUUCUCUGGCGUUGAGCCCCUGACUCUCCCAUCCAGCUUCCAGCUCAGCCCCACAUAUGUCUCUCUGUGUCUGUGUUUAUCACUGGUGAAUCUUCAGCAUUGGGGCUACCCUAUGCCAGCUCAAGGCCCAGCUGAGCCCGCCUGGCCCCCAACUUGCACCGUGGAGAUGGGGACUUGGUCACAGAGAUUAAAGUAGACACUGGGGGCAGAGAGGCCAGGGAUGGAAGGGAACUUAAAUAAGGCCACAGGUAAGUGGAUUCAUUUGCUUGGGCUGCUAUAAGACCCACAGACUGGGCAGCUUCACUAACAGGCAUUUAUCUGCCCACAGUUCUGGAGGCUAGAAGUCUGCAAUCGAGGGGUCAGCAGGGUGGAUUUCUUCUGAGGCCUCUGUUAAAUGGUAAACUGAGGCACCAUAAAAGUUGAGAUUUUAUUUGUUAAAACCCCAGUCCAAACAGCUUCAAGCCAGAAGUGGUUGGGUACACUACUGAGCAAACACAGACAAAGCCAGUUAGGCCUCAUAAGAGAUGUAGAUCUUGCUUGAUUUCCAAACAUAAGCAAAACUUAGCUUCAGCUGUUUCUUGUAAAUGGCUACAUUGAAGAACAAGGCCAGCCCAUUAGCCCUGAAACUAGGGACUUUUCAGCAGGAAAGACUAAAUAAAACAGCUAUACAAUUGUAAUCAAUCGCAUGUUUUCUUCGCUUUACUUGCGUGUGCACCCUAGGUUUAUCAUAAGGUUAAAUGUCAUGGCGAAUGUGAAAAAAGCCUUUUGGAAACGAUGUGUGUAAAUAUCAUUGCAGUCACCUUAUAAAAAGGAAGUUUGAGGAGAAAAGGGAAAGCAGCACUCUCUUACGCCCCAGGCAAAUCGUGGCUGAACCAAAUACAACCCUGCGAUGAGCAUUCCUGGUGCCCCACAGCUUCCCGCAGAUGGCAGAUGGUCCAUGCUGUGGGAGGAAGACUCGUGUGUGCAUAUAUAUGAGGCUGCCCUGACAGACCAGGCCAAUCCUGCUUCCCGGUGACUGUGGCUUCCUUGUCUCUAGGAGGCCUCGGUUCAAUUAACUUAGCAGAUGUUUAUGAGGCACUGAAUAUGUGUAGCCUAGAAGGUCCAUGAGAGAAUGAAGGGCCCUGGGUCUGAUUUAGGCAACCCCGUAUACCUAGCCCCUACGACACAUCUGUGUGGCACCAACAUAGCCUCCCAAUAAAUAUCUGAUUGACAGCAGACUAUCAGGCACUGGGCUAGGGACAAGGGUCAGAGUGCAGCAAAAGGCGACCAUCGCGUAGAUGCUAACCACUCACCGCAUGCACUUUGUUGAGAUAGAAGCAAAAUUCUCUAAGCACAGAGAAGAAUGUGAUUCAUUCUGCUCUGUCAUUAAGGGCAGGGAAGUGCUGCUCAGGGAUGGCCGUGGAAGCUGGGCCUUCCAGGACAGGUGAGAUUUUAACGUAAUGGCGAGCUAAAGAACAGGUGUUCCCAGCAGCAGCAGCAGCACACAAGAAAGCAUGCAAAUGAGGACAUGUGCGGGGGCAAUGUUUCCUGUGGCUGCUGGAAUAAACUGCGACUAACAUAGUUUAAAACAAUACAAGCGUAUUAUCUUACACUUCCUAGGGGAGGUCAGAAAUCUCACGGGCUCUGCUGGCUUCUGUGCUUCGUCUCUCAAGGCCAAAAUCAAGAUGUCAUCAGUGCUGAGCUCUGGUGCAGGAUCCACGUCCAGGCUCACUGGGGCUGCUGGCAGAAUUCAGCUGUGUGGGGUUGUAGGAAUGAAGUCCUUGUUUCCUUGCUGGCUGUUGGCCAGGGGCUGCCCUCAGCUUCUGGAGGCCGCCUGCCCUCCCUGGUUCAUGGCCCAUCUCAUCCUGACAGCCAGCACCCGCGGGAAGUCCCUCUUGCACUGUGACUCUCUCCCGCCUCUUCCAUUCUCUAUGGCUUGUCUGCCUCCCUCUUUCAUCUUUAAGAGUGCAUGUGAGUAUAUUGGACCUACCUGAAUCAGCCAGGCUAACCUCCCCAUUUUAAGGUCUGCAGCCUUAAUUCUACCUGCAAAGUCCCUUUUGCCAUGUAAUGUGCCAUAUUCACAGGUGUCAGGAAUCAGAGGGCAGGUAUAUUGGGGGACCAUUAUUCUGCCAACUACACAGGGCCUUAUAUGGUCUGGCUCUGUGUCCCCAUUCAAAUCUCAUCUUGAAUUGUAAUCCGAAUUGUAACCCCCACGUGUUGGGGGGAGGGACCUUGUGGGAGGUAAUUAAAUCAUGGGGGCGGUUACCCUCAUGCUGUUCUUGUGAUAGUGAGUGAGUUCUCACGAGAUCUGAAGGUUUUGCAAGGAGCUUUUCCCCCUUUUGCUCAGGACUCUCCUUCCUGCAGCCAAGUGAAGGACAAGUUUGCUUCCCCUUCCACAAUGAUUGUAAGUUUCUUGAGGCCUCUCCAGAACUAUGAGUCAAUUAAACCUCUUUCCUUUAUAAAUUACCUAGUCUUGUGUAUUUCUUCAUAGCGGCAUGAAAACGGA